UACUAAUUAUAAUUUCUUUUACUAAAAGAACUGUUCAUCGUCUUUAUGUGUUGUGUGCUUUCAACUUAGAGUUAAAGGUUGUCGAUUAAUGUUUGAUGUGUUAUAAAACAUAUAAAAAGAAAUGAUUAAUCAUGCAUGUGAAAUUGUGAAACUUGGGAAGAUGUUUAAUCUGUGCUAAAUAACAAGACACUCCAUAUUCACGAAGUCCUCUUCUGUUAGAUGUGUAUAUCUUUGCUGAACGUAUUGGUGUAGACUGUACUUUUGGCUUGCAUUUUACCAUAUAUUGUUUAUUUUCUCCAAGUGAAAUGGAAAAUGAAGGGUAAUUGAGUUGUACAAAAUAUAUUUUUGCCGUUGAAAGAAUCAAUUAUGUUACACAGAUGGCGCCGGGUAAAAAAAAGAAGAUAAGACAUGCUUCCCAGCUUCCUCAGCACACUUCAAGUCCUACUAGCUCGUCUGUGCCAUUUAUGAGUCGUCCUCCUCCUCCUCCUCCUCCUCCUCCUUCUCCUCAACAGACUUCACUGCCACCCGGCUUCUUCACUUUGCCCCCUUGUGAUCUAGUUAAAUAUAAGCCUAUCUCUAAUUCCCAGAGCAUGCACACUAUACCAUCUUCUUCGAUAGCUUAUCGUACUAGUCAACAUGGUGGCUCCUUAUCUAUGCCUCUGUGAUCAUUCACUCCAUCCUCAUGCUACCAUGUUAGUCAGAAUGGUGGUCCGGCAUCCAUGGCUCCAUCUUCAUCUCCAUCAUCAUCCACUCCUAGUGUUUCUAGGCCACAUGUUGGAGGCUCUACCAUGCCGUCAUCCCCAUCCAUUGAUACAUCUACACCUGCUGCUGAAGAUACAUAGACUCAGACUUUUGAAGAGAUUGUAUCAUAUGAUGAUCAUCACAGACUGCUUAUCAUUCCUGAUGGUACUACUGGGUAAGCAAUUACUUUAUCAUUCAUUUGAAUUGUUGAAUAUAUUUUAGACAUAUGUUAAUUUUAAUGCAGGUUUGUUCCCUCUAAUGAAUCUACGAAAGUGGUUGUGGAUUGUGUUAAAGCAUUUUACCGAGAUGCUUGGAGUAAAUGGUCAGAUAUACCGUAUUUUUACAGAGAUCAGAUGUGGAAUCAAUUUAGGACAAGGUGUGCAUGGCAUCCCAAAUAUCAUCAGCAAAUAAGUCAUAAAUUUCGAGAAAAAAGGUGCUGAUAGGCUUAAGAAUCUCCUCUAUAAGCUCGGUUUGAUGGCAAGAUGCCCGAUUUGAUACUAAAAGACAUAUGGGAAAAACUUAAGGUGAUAUGGGCUUCUCCAGAAUUUAAGAAGAGGAGCAACGCCGGAAAGGCUGCCCGAGCCUCCAAUAUGGGUGGCUCAUUGCACACUGGGGGUUCAGUUAGUAUGGAGACCCAUCAAAGGAGAAUGGAAAAGGAAAAAGGGAGACUUGUGACUUAUGCUGAGGUCUUUGAGGACAAACAUAUGAAAAAGAAAAAGGACGGUACAAGAGAAUGGGUCGAGCCCCGCGCAUAUGUAAGAUCCUAACAACAAGAUUCUCUAGUUUCUUCUUUUGGUUUUGCAUUGGGAUAACACUUAGUCUGAUUCUUACAAGAUUAGCACAAGAAACUCUUGUGAGUUAAACUAUUAGUAAUCAAUGAAUUUAACAUCUUUCAGUUGGUAUUUGCUUAAGUAUUUCCUUAAAAGUUGUGUGAGAUAGCAACUGUAUGAUUGCAUGAGCAAAUAAGGAAUUAUAGACAUACACAUGAAUAAUUUGCCAAAUAGAUAUCUCAAAAUAGUACUAGAGAAGUGGGUAA